rnacentral:rRNA from 1 species
CACGUAGGGGGCGAGCGUUGUCCGGAUUUAUUGGGCGUAAAGAGCUCGUAGGCGGCUCGGUAAGUCGGGUGUGAAAACUCUAGGCUCAACCUAGAGACGCCACCUGAUACUGCCGUGGCUAGAGUCCGGUAGGGGAGCAUGGAAUUCCUGGUGUAGCGGUGAAAUGCGCAGAUAUCAGGAAGAACACCCGUGGCGAAGGCGGCUCUCUGGGACGGUACUGACGCUGAGACGCGAAAGCGUGGGGAGCGAACAGG